rnacentral:misc_RNA from 1 species
UAUGAGCCAAUCAAGUAAAUGGGCAACUUCAGAAAAGACAUACAAAUAUGGGCAACUUGGGGGAGAAAAUCCAGCUAUCAUCAAAUGGAAUUGAAAUUUUCUGUGUGGAAUAAUGACUUACAGAUGAAUCAGUCAAGCACGUAGAUUCGAGAGGCGAUGUCCUGAACCAACCAAUCAAAUCCCUCAAGCAGUCCCUCCCCUGUGUAUGCACUACAGCCCAU